GGGUUGUGAGGUUAAGUGACGAAGCGUACACGGUGGAUGCCCAGGCAGUCAGAGGCGAUGAAGGGCGUGCUAAUCUGCGAUAAGCGUCGGUAAGGUGAUAUGAACCGCAACAGCCGACGAUACCC
rnacentral:rRNA from 1 species